rnacentral:lncRNA from 10 species
CCUUGGCAGUGUGGAGGGAGAGAGCCUGGUUCUUCUGCCGAGCCCUGGGCAGCCUUCUGGUGUCCCAGGAUAGAAGAAAGACUCACAUUUCUUUGCACCAUUGAGCCCAUCACUGCAGCACCAGAGCAUCUGACAUCUGCAAAACAACAUCAUUAGAUGAGACCCAGGGCCUAAGUUAAACAACUUGCCCAAAGUCCGGUACGCUUAGGAGGAGGCACACCUGACUUUUGACUCUACGUCUGCCUACUCCCUGACCUAUGCUCUUUCUAGAAAGUGGACACUUGCCCAGAUAACACCACUUCUAUCCACUUCUAUCCCUCGGGGAGGCCCUACCCCAUUUCAGCUGGGCUCAGAGCUGGGCAAAUUCAGACCUAGAGUGGAUUUCAACUCUGCCACCUGCCAAAGGGUAGACCCCAACAUGCCAUGUGUUUCUCCAGUGGGCAUCCUUGGGUUCCCUGGCUCCAUGCUUAGGAGGCUGGGCCCUCCACCUGACUUCUUCAAAGCCCUCCCCAAGAGCCAGCUCCUGCAGAGCCAAGAGCCAUGAGCCGAUCCUCCAAAAACCAGACCCAUAGGACAAGAGGCCAGGAGAGAGCGGCCAGCUCUCGGUGAACACAGGUACAGGGCCUUGGCAGGCUCAGCAGUCAGGACGUCCAGGUCUCAUCUCCAGUCUGCCUCUUGCUAGUCACUUGACCUCCCGCAGCCUCAGUUUCCCCAUCUGUAAGAUGAUGACGACACCCUCCAGCUCCUUAGUAAAGGAAUGAUAAAAUGACAGUUCAGCGUCUGUAUUUUAA